rnacentral:rRNA from 1 species
GACGAACGCUGGCGGCGUGCUUAACACAUGCAAGUCGAACGGAAAGGCCCUGCUUUUGUGGGGUGCUCGAGUGGCGAACGGGUGAGUAACACGUGAGUAACCUGCCCUUGACUUUGGGAUAACUUCAGGAAACUGGGGCUAAUACCGGAUAUGAGCUCCUGCUGCAGGGUGGGGGUUGGAAAGUUUCGGCGGUUGGUGCUGGACUCGCGGCUUAUCAGCUUGUUGGUGGGGUAGUGGCUUACCAAGGCUUUGACGGGUAGCCGGCCUGAGAGGGUGACCGGCCACAUUGGGACUGAGAUACGGCCCAGACUCCUACGGGAGGCAGCAGUGGGGAAUAUUGCACAAUGGGCGGAAGCCUGAUGCAGCAACGCCGCGUGCGGGAUGACGGCCUUCGGGUUGUAAACCGCUUUCGCCUGUGACGAAGCGUGAGUGACGGUAAUGGGUAAAGAAGCACCGGCUAACUACGUG